rnacentral:rRNA from 1 species
GGACUACCGGGGUAUCUAAUCCCGUUUGCUCCCCUGGCUUUCGUGUUUCAGAGUCAGGAAUUUUCCAGGAAGCCGCCUACGCCACCGGUGUUCCUCAUGAUAUCUACGCAUUUCACUGCUACACCAUGAAUUCCGCUUCCCCCUCCAAUCCUCUAGCCAAGUAGUAUCGAGCGCCAUUUCACCGUUAAGCGGUGAGAUUUCACACCCGACUGACUUGACCUCCUACACACCCUUUACGCCCAAUGAAUCCGAACAACGCUCGGGACCUCUGUAUUACCGCGGCUGCUGGCAC